rnacentral:rRNA from 1 species
AACGAACGCUGGCGGCAGGCCUAACACAUGCAAGUCGAGCGAGGACUUCGGUUCUAGCGGCGGACGGGUGAGUAACGCGUGGGAAUGUGCCCUUCUCUACGGAAUAGCCCUGGGAAACUGGGAGUAAUACCGUAUACGCCCUAUUGGGGUAAGGUUUAUCGGGGGAGGAUCGGCCCGCGUUGGAUUAGGUAGUUGGUGGGGUAAUGGCCUACCAAGCCGAGGAUGCAUAGCUGGUUUGAGAGGAUGAUCAGCCACGCUGGGACUGAGACACGGCCCAGACUGGUACGGGAGGGAGGAGAAGGGAAUAGUAGAGAAGGGGGGCAAACCAGAUAAAGCCAUGAGGGGUGAGUGAGGAAGGCGUUAGGGAAGUAAAGCUGUAUGAGCUGGGAAGAGAAUGACGGUAACAGGAGAAGAAGCACCGGCUAACUACGUG